UACGAAGGGGGCUAGCGUUGUUCGGAUUUACUGGGCGUAAAGCGCACGUAGGCGGUUCGUUAUGUCGGAUGUGAAAGCCCCUUGGCUUAACCGAGGAAGUGCAUCCGAAAACUGGCGAGCUAGAGUACUAAAGAGGAUCGCGGAAUUCCCGGUGUAGAGUGAAAUUCGUAGAUAUCGGGAGGAACACCGGUGGCGAAGGCGGCGAUCUGGGUAGAUACUGACGCUGAGGUGCGAAAGCGUGGGGAGCAAACAGGG
rnacentral:rRNA from 1 species